AAUGAAUUUUAAAUUCUUUUUAUGAGAGAGUAGGCUGAAUUUAAAAAGUUUCAUCAUAAUGGUUUGAGGAUAAAAAUAGAAAUGUCUUUGAAAAGUUCCUUAGCAGAUGGAAAGCGAAUAAAUCAAGAUAUUUCGUUAAAGAAAAGAGAAAUUGAUGCUAAGCUUGAGGAAGAAAAAGCUAGUAUUACAUGGCUAAAAGAAAGUUUACAAAAAAGUGACACUCUGGCUAACAACAUGAUUAACAUACUGACGUCAUUUGAAGAGCGUUUAUGCAAACUUGAAGAUAAUAUAUUACCGGUUCAUAAAGAGACCACAGAUUUACAAAGACGUCAAGACAAUAUAAGUAAAACAUUAGUUCUAUUGGAAGAGGUAUUAAGUUUCCACAGUGUGUCAUCUAACUUAAAACCAAUAGUUGAAAGUGGACCAGCUGGAAACCUCAACAAUUACCUGGAGACUUUAGAAAAAAUUGAGAAUGCUAUUACAUUUUUUAAAAAGAAUAAUCCAGAAAGUAUUGAGUUAUCUGUUCUGAAUUCGUUAAAUGACAGCGGACGUGAUUCACUAGUUAGAGAAUUUCGAUUGCUUUUGCAAAGAAACAGUAGACCCAUCUCAGUUCUUGAUAUUCAGAACAUGAUCAAUAGUGAUAACUUUGAUGAAAAUAAUGGAGAAGAACGCGAGAAGAUUCAGAUAACACAUUUUUCAGAAAGUAUUAUGGCACAAAUUUGCAUGAUUUCUUCCUGGUUAGUAGAAAAUAAAAAAGGGACUGAUUUCAUGAGUUUUUAUUCACAAAUUCGAUCAAACAUUUUAUCUCAAUCACUAUUAGGAGUAAAAAAUGAACCAGAUUUCUUUUUGGUUGAAGAUAAUAGUGGGAAAAAAAAAGCUGCAUUUGAUUACAAAAAGAAGUUAACUAAAAAAGCAACAAAGCAAGUCAUAGAAAUUUACAAAAGACCUUCUGAUUCUUCUAAUACAACUAUAAAAGAUGAAGAGGAUGAUUAUCAAGUGCGUAUAUUUCUGGUAUCUACUGUAGCCUUGUUAAAACUUAUGCAGAGUGAGCAUACUCUUAUGACUAAUAUUAUACCGGCUGAGCAUCAGGUGCCAGUAUUCAGCCAACUGGUUCAAGAUGCAUUAAACAAGUAUUAUUCUGACGCUGAGAAUGUAUCUAACAAUGCUAAAAAAAUGCAAUCACGUAUGGAUCAUUCCUCUGUUCAGUUUAUUCUUCCUGUUUUAAAGUACCUAGUUAAUAUAAAACCACAGUUUGACUCAAUAUUAAAGAUGGUUAAUGUUGAUACACGGAAAAAAUUCCUAAGUGUAAUAUCUCUAUUUCAUGAAACAGGUAAAGUUCUUUUGUCAGAUUUUGUUGAGAAACUUAAGGAUAUUGACAAGAAUAAUACAGUACCAAAAGAUGGAACUGUGCACCAAGUAACUAGUAAUGUAGCCAUAUAUUUAGAAGAAUUAAUGCAAUUUAUAGAUACUACAGCUAUGAUUCUUUCUGAAGAUUCUAAAGAAACCUCCUCUACAAUUGUUGCUGGCUUUAUGUCAAAAGUUUUGGAAUCUUUAAGUCGUAAUUUAAUGAAUAAAUCAAAAAUGUAUGAUUCAAUGGCUCUCCAAUCUAUUUUCAUGCUAAACAACUAUAACUACAUUAUAAAAAGUUUGCAGAAGUACAAUCGGCAUAAUGAAGCUGCUUCAAGAAAAUGGCCAGCCCGACCUUGAAAAACAAUAUGACGAAGUCAUUAGAGAUGAGAUGGAAAGCUAUGAAAAGAGUUGGCAAAGAGUAAGCCAGCAUUUAGUGAUGGAUUCUUCUGACAAACUUUUAGAAAGUUCUGGGAAGUUGAAUAAAAAACACAAGCAAGCAAUUAAAGAAAAAUUUAAGGGUUUUAAUACAGAUUUAGAAGAAAUUCAUCAACUUCAUCGUCAGUUUUCUGUGCCAGACAUUACUCU
rnacentral:misc_RNA from 1 species